rnacentral:lncRNA from 1 species
ACUCGCACGGAGCAACCUCGGGACAGAUGGUGGGAGAGGAAGGGCAACUCGAGGAGGCACAUUUUAGGAAACUGCCCACGGAGCCAGUUUCGAUUCUCCAAACCUCGUCAGCAUGCAGAGGCUCCCUGACUCGGCAGCAAGGAGGGCCUCAUCAGCCGACCCCCAUGCCCGGCACCCCCUUCACCAGUGGGUAAACUAUGCUCGCCACCACUCAGCACUCACCUCUUGGGCUCAGAGGGCAGAAAGUCUGACCCUUCUCUCUUAAAAGCAGGGUCCUGAAAACUCCAGAGAGCAGUGCCCUGUGCAUUAAACACAGACUGCGCCCUUGUACUCAGGUAUGACCAUUUGUCCUGGACAAAAAUUAAACUGAUGAGGGAACAAAAUAGGGCCUUAUAGAAGGUGAGUGGAAAAGCAGGGAAGGCAAACCCCCAAAUUCAGGAGGGAGGAUGGAAUUGGCCUGGGGAGCAGAGGCAGGAGGUUCUGUGGACAGGGCUGGUGGAGCUCUGGGGGGAGCAGAGGCAGGAGGUUUUGUGGACAUGGUUGAUGGACCUCUGCGGGGAGAAGACGGAGGAGAUUUUGUGGACAGGGCUGGUGGAGCUCUGCGGGGAGCAGACACAGGAGGUUCUGUGGACAGGGCUGGUGGAGCUCUGGCCACUUCCUCCGUAAACUAGAGACGUGAUCCCCAGGGCCAGGUCUGUCUCUGAGGUCCUACCAGCUGGGACAGGAGGAUGCAAUUCUCUCUCUAAAGUCGAGAGCUCACCACCCCGGGCGUUCGUCACUGCAGACAUCACUGCAGACACAGAGACGGCCAUUAGAGCUCACCACCCCGGGCGUUCGUCACUGCAGACAUCACUGCAGACACAGAGAAGGCCAUUAGAGCUCACCACCCCGGGCGUUCGUCACUGCAGACAUCACUGCAGACACAGAGACGGCCAUUAUGCAGCCUCACGUGGUCACUCCUGGGGGCGGUAGGAUAUUUUAUCCUAAAGAGAAAACACCUUAAAUUCUCACAUCAGCCACCCCCAUGGCGACUCUUAACACCUUAAUGUAGCACCUUCCAACUUUUCCUGGGCAUUUAUGUACAAAUUGUAAUAAAAUUGGGUUCUUACUGCA